rnacentral:lncRNA from 1 species
AGGUUAGUGCCAUUACAACAUGUACGUUUUAUGUUACUUGCAGUUUAUGUAGCAUUGAUUCCGACACAGAUACCGAACACGACUGUGACAGUAAAACAUUGUCAUAUGCACAUCAACACAUUAAUAAUUAGAUAAAUUUGAAUGCUAGAAUGUAACCACAUGUGUCAAUGUCGCGUUGGUGUCAAAGACUAGACACAUUUUCAAUCUGAAAUUCUAGUGCUCCAUAGGCAUGGCAAUAAAACCCAUACCCGUGGUUACCCGCCCGAAUCAAACCCAAUUUGACGGGUUUUCCCCGCUUUGACUGGGUUUGGGUAUGGGUAUGGGUUUUCUCCGAUCUCAAAACACGGGUAUGGGACGGGUAACGGGUAUAUAGGUACCCACCCCGAACCCAUACCCAAACCCGUCCCAAAUGUAAAAAAACUAUUUUAUGUUGAUAUGUUAUGUUAUUUUGUUUGAUAAUUGUCAUGUUAAUAAAAACUACCAUUGAUAUUUAAAGGAUCAACUAAAUAAUUUUGUCUAACAAAUGUGAAAGUGAGCUUAUUGUUGGAUAAUGUAUUACAACGUUGCUCUUGGGGAUACAAAAAAAACUUAUAUUUUUUACUAAAAAAAUUAUUCAAUGCGGGGACGGGGAUGGGGCGGGGAUACCCGAACCCGUUGGGGACGGGGAUGAGAUUCAAUUUCUCAUCCCCGUUGGAUAUGGGUAGGGUAACGGGUAAGUAUAUGAGAAUCGGGUAUGGGGGCGGGGAAGGUAAAACCGGUCCCCACCCCGCCCCAUUGCCAUGCCUAGUGCUCCAAGGUUCCUUAGAUGAAAAUUAAUACCUACAUUUGGUUUUCAAUUAUUUCUAUUACUUAGCGUGUGUUUGGCAAAUAGAAAAUUCACAGUAUUGUCACCCGUUCAACAAACUUUACUACUACUAGCUUUUGUAAAUUCAUGUUUAAAUCAUCUAGGGUCGCUAGAAAUCCAAUGCCAACGUGUAUGCAAACACAUGCUUAUAUUAUAAGUAAGUUUCCCUAUGUUAUACUUUGUUGUGAAUUUUUACAUUGCUGAAACCAUUCUCAGAGAAAAGAGCUGUGUUAGGUAAUCAACAGUCAACGUAAAACAUUAUUGAACCUUUAGGGAUUGGAUAAUCAAUGUGAUAAUGGUUCGGCUAAGUCAUUCCGUAUAAGAAACACGGAUAGGUCAUCAAUGUGAUAGCAGUUUGGUUAAGUCCUUCCGCAUAAGAAACAUGUUGUACAAAUAGGCUAUGCCAUCGUUUGAUCCAUGGAGCCAAUCCUAUCAAGUGUGAAAACAAGAAAGGAUUUGAUUGUUCUUUUACUUCUUAUAAUACGUUAGUUGAGCUUUGUUAUAUGUUAAUAUCGAAACAAUUUGGAAUUUUGAUGAAACUUAUUGUUUGCUCACCUGGUAGAUUGCAUCAAUAUUGUAACCAUGCGACAUUUUUUAUGUAUAUUGUCUUAGUAUUAAUGACUUGAUUUAUUGUUUUUGCAAUUUGAAGGUAAAACCAUCCAAUUAAUGUAAUUGAAUAAAUGGAGAUUGUUAUGACCAGGAUCAUCAAUGAAAGUGAAGAUAUUCCUCAUAUCUUCUUAGGCCUUCAUUAGACAUUAUAAUAAAGUAGAACCAGGUAACAUGCUUUGCAUUAUUAAUUUCAUUUCCCUUUGAUCUCUUUUAUUCAUUUGUUUAUUAUUUGAUUAAUUCACUUCCUUUUAUUUAAUUUUAUCAUUUGUUUCUUAUGUGAUUAUUUUUCCAGACUAUUUCUCCUAUUUCUUGGACCUUUGGGGAGAAAGUAAUUGCCAAUUGUGCUCUUACACCUUCUAAAAUUAUCAGUGAAACCAUAGUUUGAGAUUAACAAUGGGAAGAUUGCAAAACCUUCUCAAUCCAUAUAAAUAUGUGAUAAAGGCAGUGAUUUUCCAUCUAUAAGAAUUCUUGCUUCGACGAAGGGUAUUAGGUCAUCAAAUCCUGAUGAUAUGUGUAAAGCUCAAGAAGUUUUAGUUUCUAAAUCUAAAAAUGAUGAGAAUACAGAUGUUUAGAAUCUUACAAAGCUUAACAUUCAUGACAGAAGCUUCCGUAAAAUACGUCGUCCAAGGAAAAAUAGUAACAUCCAGAAUCAUAAUGAUCAUCCGAACUCUGUCAAAGUUACAGGAAGACAAAUUGAAUUUUCUACUUGAAAAGCCUUCUUUGAAAUCAUCUGGUUUUAGGCUAGAAAAUAAAUCUAAAGAAAGGAAGGAUUCUGAAGUGAAACAUGAGGCACCGGUUAGAAAAAGCAAAUUAUCUAUCCAGUUUGAUGGAAAAGUCGUAUAUUUGAAUUGUGCAGUUUGAAGUUACACCACUAAGUUCUUACUAUUCAGCUAGACCUUAAAUGUAAGUAUACUAUAUCUAUACAGGACAAAAUGAUUCUAGAUUUCUUUCUGUUGACAGAAAUUUAUCUUCCAAGGUCCCUUACAUUGGUGUCCUUAAUUAAACUAUAUGCUUCUUUAUCUUUGUUUUGUUUCUUUAGUUGUUGAUUUAUGAAGCAUAUGCCCUGAAACUAUCUUGUAAUUCAUAUUGUACAGAGCAGAAUAAAGAAUAGAAAAAUCAAUUUAAUAAAUUUUUACUGCAU